AAAGCUAGGGAUGUGCAACUUUGAAAAUGAGCCUUAACUUCAAGUCCUGCAUAAGUACAUGGCCUCCUCUGCUAUCCCUUAGGAAGCUGGGUCCUGAUAAUUCAACCUGUUCUUAGAGGGAACUCUCAUUGGAAAACAUCCUCCUCUUUCACCUGCCAUUGCCAUUAUCAGUUCCUCAAUAUGUCCUACAGCCACCACUAUAAUGUGGUCUCCUGGUGAUCUUUGAUGGAGAGGCUGAGGGAGAACAGGCUAUUGUCAAUAUGAAACUGAAUUGGUGAGUAGGAACAGGGACUGCAGAGAGUUCCUAAGAUGGCAGAUGGAAGAGAAAGCGAGGCUCUGCAAACAGCAGAUUUUUUUGAUAGCCAGCCUUUAAUACAGAUAAGGCAGGACUCACUAUCCCUUCCCUGAUUGCUCUACCAGGGAGCAGUACAGAGAUAAGGAACCUGGCUGGCUGGGGGCUACUAUUGAUCUGUGAAUUCUGAUACGUGAACUUUGAAGUUGGAGCUUUGGCUCCACAUGGGGCAUAGAAAAGUGUGUUCAGAGAGCUGCCAAAAGCUUCUCAUCUACGUAAGCACUCAGUGCCAGCACUAAUCUGAUGCAAGAUACUGAAGAAUACUUCAAGUUUUCUUCUACUGAAGAACUUCAAGUUAUAAACUUCCUUGGGUAACACACACUGUACAGUGGAGAGGAGAUGCUUCCCCACAGCAAAAGCUGUUUCUCAGGGCCAGGCAGCUUCAGUCUUACAUGAACUCUGAAUUGCAAAGCUGUUGAACUGUGAGAGAGGGAUGUUUGCAUUUUCUAAACCAGCCCUUUAUCUGAAGACUUCUGCUUACAGCACCUGGUUCUCUUGUGACAUGGUGCCCAGGCCUGACCCAAAUCCUCUCCCAGACAGAGGACAUUGUAUUGCUGUAAUGAACUCUGAUCAUCCUGUAUUCCACACUGCAAAACCUGAGGUUUCCACACAGGGAUUCCCAAGACCAUUGACCAAAAAGCAAGACACAGCCCCUGCUACUUCAGUUUUAGCCUGUUUGGGGACCUCCCAGCAACGUCCAUAGGUACUGUACAUCUUCACAGACAGCUUACCUUGGAACUCCCAAGUGCAGUUACUCCAGCCAGCAGAUGAUUAAUAUGUCAUCAAAAUAGUUCUCUACCUUUUCUCUGGCACCAGAUGAAAGACAUUUAUUACCUUGUCCUUUUCCAGUCUGAUGUUACAGAGAUGCCAGACUAGGAAAUCUAACCUCUGCUGUUCCAUAUUGUCAUUUUAAUUAAAGCCAUAUCCUGUAAAAUGCUAUA
ensembl:lncRNA